rnacentral:rRNA from 1 species
UACGGGGGGAGCAAGCGUUGUUCGGAUUUACUGGGCGUAAAGGGCGCGUAGGCGGAUCUUUAAGUCAGGGGUGAAAUCCCGGGGCUCAACCUCGGAACUGCCUUUGAUACUGAAGAUCUUGAGUUCGGGAGAGGUGAGUGGAACUGCGAGUGUAGAGGUGAAAUUCGUAGAUAUUCGCAAGAACACCAGUGGCGAAGGCGGCUCACUGGCCCGAUACUGACGCUGAGGCACGAAAGCGUGGGGAGCAAACAGG